rnacentral:rRNA from 1 species
UACGGAGGGUGCAAGCGUUGUCCGGAAUCACUGGGCGUAAAGCGCGCGUAGGCGGCCUCGUAAGUCCGUUGUGAAAGUCAAAGGCUCAACCUUUGAAAGCCGAUGGAUACUGUGAGGCUAGAGUCCGGAAGAGGCGAGUGGAAUUCCUGGUGUAGCGGUGGAAUGCGCAGAUAUCAGGAGGAACACCAAUAGCGAAGGCAGCUCGCUGGGACGGUACUGACGCUAAGGCGCGAAAGCGUGGGGAGCGAACAGG